rnacentral:rRNA from 1 species
AGUCGNNCGGCAGUACGGAGCUUGCUCUGGUGGCGAGUGGCGAACGGGUGAGUAAUGCGUCGGAACGUAUCCAAUAAUGGGGGAUAACGCAGCGAAAGCUGUGCUAAUACCGCAUACGCCCUCCGGGGGAAAGCAGGGGAUCUUAGGACCUUGCGUUAAUGGAGCGGCCGACGUCUGAUUAGCUAGUUGGUCGGGUAAAGGCCUACCAAGGCGACGAUCAGUAGCUGGUCUGAGAGGAUGAUCAGCCACACUGGGACUGAGACACGGCCCAGACUCCUACGGGAGGCAGCAGUGGGGAAUUUUGGACAAUGGGCGCAAGCCUGAUCCAGCCAUUCCGCGUGAGUGAAGAAGGCCUUCGGGUUGUAAAGCUCUUUCAGGAGGGAAGAAACGAUUGUGGCUAAUACCCAUGAUUAAUGACGGUACCUUCAGAAGAAGCACCGGCUAACUACGUGCCAGCAGCCGCGGUAAUACGUAGGGUGCGAGCGUUAAUCGGAAUUACUGGGCGUAAAGCGUGCGCAGGCGGUUUUUCAAGUCUGAUGUGAAAUCCCCGGGCUUAACCUGGGAACUGCGUUGGAAACUGAAAGACUAGAGUGCGGCAGAGGGGGGUAGAAUUCCACGUGUAGCAGUGAAAUGCGUAGAUAUGUGGAGGAAUACCGAUGGCGAAGGCAGCCCCCUGGGUCGACACUGACGCUCAUGCACGAAAGCGUGGGUAGCAAACAGGAUUAGAUACCCUGGUAGUCCACGCCCUAAACGAUGUCNACUAGUUGUUGGGGAGGGAGACCUCCUUAGUAACGCAGCUAACGCGUGAAGUUGACCGCCUGGGGAGUACGGUCGCAAGAUUNAAACUCAAAGGAAUUGACNGGGGGCCCGCACAAGCGGUGNAUUAUGUGGNAU